CAUUUGAUGAUGAAAUUCUUAGAUAAAAUUCUACAAUAGUGGAUAUAUUACAUCCAUGAAAAGGUUUAAAUUACCAUUCUGUUCUUGGCUGCAAAGACACCGUACUGUGACCAAGACCUUCCCCUUGAGAGACACAUGGUCAAAUCUCUGGAUACACAAAUCAGUUUGUUCUUUUUAAUGCCUCUAAAAAUGCUAACUAUUCAGGUCCAGUGUAAUUGUUAGCCUUCAGAUGACUCUUUUAAGCUCUUAUCAUGGACUGAAUUGUUUGGAAUAUACAUGAACUAGUUCUCUGGUUUAGGCUGAAGUAGACCCUCGUGAGUACUCUGCCAGCUCUUUUUGCAAGCUCCACUUUUGAGAACUGUUGACAAACACUCUGGACAAUAUUCUAUCCUGCAAUCAUGAAUUCCUGUUGUUCUGUUGAACAUGCCACACUUUAAAUAAAAGCCAUUGCUUCCUGGAGGGCAGAACCACAGUCCUAGCAGGCAGUACUGACCUUGACAUCACACGGUACUUACUGUGUCAUUUGUAUGUAAUUCUUGUACAUGGAGAUAUGGAAAAUUGUUGCUGACAGUGUGUUUCAUGUUAUUUUUCCACUGACCAUGCGCACAGAGUGUAAAUGUCAAGCAACCCUUGUACCAAAUCUUAUGCAUUACAACAUAAAUGUACCAGUAGUUCACAGACGUGUAAGAAGAAUUUCUUACAGGAGACCCAGCAAGCUUGGACUUUAGCUGGCUGUUAUGCACUCUCUAAAUCUUUGUCACUUGAGAUAAACACGUCCCUCGCAAACACAGUGGGAAUCACACUUACAUGGGGUUUUCAUAUGUCAGACUGUAGUCUCUUUCACUUAUGCUAUAUUCACUACGUAUUAUGUAGUGAUUUAUAUAAUAAAAAUUUAAUACUACAUAUUCACUUACACUACACACCAUCAAAAGGCCUUUCCUUUAACAGUCUCAUUGGAAAUUAUUUGCCAGCUCUGUCAUGCUGCACACAUGCAUGCACACUCCUAAAGCAACCAGCCUCUUUGAUUUUGGCCUUUCUAAAACACAACAACAGAUUUCUCUCCCCAUGGGGUUAGAGCCCCAGAGAAAAAGGUCUGGAGAGAUAUGUAUGCAUAUAAUGGAAACACAGUGUAGUCCAUCAACUUACUUAAGAUCAAUACCUAAAAGAUUACUAAGCUUGAUUUUUCCAAUACCAGCACUACAAAGAACAGUUGUAUCCCUUUGGUUGCUCUAAUGUGGGAAAAGGAACACAUAUGCUGGUAGAAUCAUAUUUGUAUGCUGCUAAUGUUGAGCUAGAGGGAAGCUGGAGAGUUCAAAGCCACUUUUUCAUUUGGAAAAAGCAUAAAAAGAACGAGACACAGAGUGAAGUAGCAGAAAGAAAAGGGACCACUACCACCACCAACUCCUUAGGCACACAGAAAUGCAGGAACAGCAAGUGAACCAUAUGGCUUCAAGGAUUUCCCUGAGGAGUGGUACAGCAAAUGCUGGAACUGGGGCACUGGUGGGUACCCCAAGGACAUAAAGAAUGCUAACAUUUGCCUCACGUAAAUAAAAGUUGUGACAAAA